CCCUUAGAUGUUCUGGGCAGCACGCGCGCUACAAUGGUCUUCGCAAACGGAUGCAUUCUCGAAGGAGAAUGCCAAUCUUGGAAGCUAUGCCUUGGUCGGGACAGUUGCUUGCAAUUUUUCGACUCGAACCAGGAAUUCCUUGUAAUCGUGAUUCAUCACAUCACGAUGAAUACGUCCCUGCCCUUUGUACACACCGCCCGUCGCUCCUACCGAUCGAAGAGUUAGGUGAAUUGUUUUGAUCGAUAAGAUUUGACUAUGGUCAACUCUCGUUGUGAAAUUCUGUGAAUCUGACUGUUUAGAGGAAGGAAAAGUCGUAACA
rnacentral:rRNA from 1 species